rnacentral:rRNA from 1 species
GACGAACGCUGGCGGCGUGCUUAACACAUGCAAGUCGAACGGAAAGGCCCGGCUUUUGUGGGGUGCUCGAGUGGCGAACGGGUGAGUAACACGUGAGUAACCUGCCCUUGACUGUGGGAUAACUUCAGGAAACAGGGGCUAAUACCCGAUAGGAUCUCCUGCUGCACGGUGGGGGUUGGAAAGUUACGGCGGUUUGGGAUGGACUAGCGGCUUAUCAGCUUGAUGGGGGGGUAGUGGAUUACCAAGGCUUUGACGGCUAGCCGGCCUGGGAGGGUGACCGGCGACAUUGGGACUGCGGUACGGCGCAGAAUCCUACGGGCGGCAGCAGUCGAGAAUAUUGCGGAAUGGGCGGAAGCCUGAUGCAGCAACGCCGCGUGCGGGAUGACGGCCUUCGGGUUGUAAACCGCUUUCGCCUGUGACGAAGCGUGAGUGACGGUAAUGGGUAAAGAAGCACCGGCUAACUACGUG